rnacentral:rRNA from 1 species
UACGUAGGGCGCAAGCGUUGUCCGGAAUUAUUGGGCGUAAAGAGCUCGUAGGCGGUUUGUCGCGUCUGCUGUGAAAACCUAAGGCUCAACCUUGGGCUUGCAGUGGGUACGGGCAGACUAGAGUGCGGUAGGGGGUGACUGGAAUUCCUGGUGUAGCGGUGGAAUGCGCAGAUAUCAGGGAGGAACACCGAUGGCGAAAGGCAGGUCACUGGGCCGCAACU